AGUGCUAUGUUAUUUUUCCAUAUACCAAAUUAUUUGAAUCGCAAAAUUGAAGACAUAUAAUAAAGUAGAUCAGAUAAAGACAUUUUGAUAAAAAUUCACAAAUUAUCACACUUCUUUAUUUCUAAUAAUAUUUUGCUUGUGGGAAAUUAUUUUCAUAGUUAAAAAAAAAGCUUGUUUUUUCAGAUUUUGAAUCCAUUGUGUGUUUGCUGGUACAAAUAGUUUACUUUGUAAGCCUUGAAGCAAUUUACUGUGUAGAUUUACAUAGUCUUAGCCUGUUCAGUAAUGACAGUACAAGACUAUCUUUCCUGGUGUGGUAGUUCUUCUCCCUAGGACUAAAUUUUUCAUAAAUUUAAUUAAAAUCAUUAUCAAUCUAUAGAAAAAUCACCAAUUUUUCAGUUGUAAAUUGAAGUAUUUCUCCAAAAUAAAUUUAAACUUCUUCUGAAUGUGUUUUAACAAACACAUAGGUAUAAUAGACUUGUGCUUACUUCAACCUGUUGAUUUUUUCUUGUCUCUGCAUUUAAAAAAAUGUAUGUAGUUCAUAUAUAAUGUGAGCUAUUAAUAAAAUGACAUCCUGAAAAAAAGAUGGACAGAAAAAUCUUCUAUUAAAAUCUGGAUUUAGGAAACCACAGCUAAGCGAUGGCUCUCGCUCUAGGCUGCUGCAGAGUACUCAUGGGGUCAACAGGGUGAUUCAGAUCCUCAGGGAAGCUUGUGCUCUGGCAUACAUGACCCUAACAGUAAUUUUGUGUUGAAAAGUUUUGUUUUGGUAUAGCUGGUGUCUUCUCUCACUGUGGACACUUAUUGAGAAAGGAAUUUGAACAUAUGCUCGGCAACCUGCUGAGCAGCCUUUAAGCUAAUUGACUGAGUCGUGACAGCUUGUGCUUGAUGGGCUUUUUAGGGUAUACCAACCUUAAGGAAACUGAUCAUCAGAGGCAUUUUAAGUAACAUAUCAACAAAAAUCCAUGUUUUCCCUGUUUAGGAAGAUAAAUGUGUUCUGGAUAUUUGUUGAAUAUCGUUGCAGAAAGAUGAAAUUUUCUCUUGUGGAAUCGUUGCAUAAAUUAUUUUGAACAGUAAUUUGUUCUUAAGCAGUUAAUAAAAGAUUAAGACAGUCACCCAGAAAGCUGUCAUUAAAGUAUCAGUGUUAUUACAGACGUUCAAAAUUCUCUUCCAGCUUCAUCUUUCAGUCUCAUCUCUGGAUACAAUACACUUAUAGCCUGAGAUUUUAAAAGCUAGUAUUUCUCUUUCCUUUAGUCUAAUUUACUUAUAUGAACCAGUUCUCCAGAAAUUGUUUUUUAACAUAGAUUGUUUAAAGCCUAUUUAACUGGAUAAUAUAAAGUAAUCUCUACCCUUCUUCUAGUGUGUAAAAUAGCCCUAAAACUGAAACUCAUUAAGGCCUCAUAUCUUCAGCUUCCUGCUGCUGUGUGUUAUAACCACUGGCUUCACCUAUCUCAUCCUUGGAUGCCAUUCCGUAACUGUCUUUCAAAACAUCAGUGUCAGCCCCCAGACAGGGUUGGAGCCAUUCCUGUAAGCCAUGUGUUUGUAACAUCACACUAUGAAUUUUCUUGCAAUCACAAUCUCUAGUACAAGCUUAUGUCUUUUUGGCACUACUAAGAUCACUAAAACACAUCACUAGUACAUGUUGAACUCUUAGCUUUCAUGUGAAAAAUUUUAAUAAAUAUUACUAAUUUCUAUCAUAUAUUUUCUUUAAAUGGAAUUUGGCUUAUUCUCAUGAAACAAAACAAAACAAAACAAAACAAUACAAACCCCUACAACUAACAGCAUUAAAGGAAAUAGUGGUUUUAUCUUGCACAGGCAUACCCUAUACAUUUUUUAUUUGCAUAAUUUGAAUUAGUGUUAUUCAUGGAAAAACUGUUAUUACUAUCAUUUAGAAAUUGGUUUCAGCAACAUUUGGACUGAAAAUACUUUUAGACUGUCAUCUUAGAGCUGCAACAAGUAUAUUCUCAAAACAUUAAGAGCAUAAUAGAAGACUGAAUAGAGCUUCCUUUGCAGUGAUAAAUUGCUUUCUUCUUUUUCUUACAGAAAAUUUCUGGUGGUUUAAGCAUUUUAGGGAAAGUAAGAUAGAUGAUAAUAUAAUGGUGGUUAUAUACUUUAAGCUUUUUAAAAUAGUUUAAAAUUUUGCUCACAUAUUAAAAUACAUACAAACCCAGUGAUGUAUAAAACAAAUCUUGAGAAAGUAUCCAGAGUGUAACUCAGGCAAGGGCAAACCAGAGGUACAUUGGAUGAUUUACCUUGUGAACAAGUGAAUAACUUGUUCAGCUGCAAAUCAAUGUAUAUUGAUUUUGAUAAGGUUUGAGUUUGGCAUAGUUCCUACAUAGCACUGUGCCCUGAUUCCUGAAUUGGUCAUGUCUUCAUGCUCAUUUGUACAAAGUCUACUGUACUGUUUGCCACAAGCUUAAUUUUCCUAUUCACAUAGCCUACUGCAAAUAAUUUUCUCAUCCUCUUCCUCAGAGAGAUUGAUUUGAGGAUAGGAUAGUAUGCGUUUAAGCCUAAAAAUGCUUCUGUCUUCACCAGAAAGAUAUGGAGUAUGUUUUUUUCUUGUUGUUGUGUUGUUUUUUUUCUUUUUUCCUUUUUUUUUUUCUGGGUGUUUUCUUUUAUUUCUUUCCAGCUGAACCAUCAUUCAUCACCUCUAACAUCACUGACAGGCAUUUUGCUUGUCAGUCUCAGCAAAUUAAAUACACUGUCUCUGUCUGACAAUGUGCAUUUACAAAAGCUCCUCUCCAGCCAUCAGAAUAUUCUGCACUGUUAAUGUUGAAAGAGUUGGAGGAAAAGAGAAAAGAAGAAAAA